GACGAAGGGGGCUAGCGUUGUUCGGAAUUACUGGGCGUAAAGCGCGUGUAGGCGGUUGUCCAAGUUGGAUGUGAAAGCCUUGAGCUCAACUCAAGAAAUGCAUUCAGGACUGGAUGACUAGAGGACCGGAGAGGAUAGUGGAAUUCCCAGUGUAGUGGUGAAAUACGUAGAGAUUGGGAAGAACACCAGUGGCGAAGGCGGCUAUCUGGACGGUUUCUGACGCUAAGACGCGAAAGCGUGGGAGCAA
rnacentral:rRNA from 1 species